rnacentral:rRNA from 1 species
CCCACCUUGGGUGUCUGUCCACCGUCUAAAAAACGCCUUGUUAGCAAGGGCCGGGUAAGACCGGUGCCAGCCGCCGCGGUAAUACCGGCGGCUCGAGUGGUGGCCGAUAUUAUUGAGUCUAAAGGGUCCGUAGCCGGCUUUGCAAGUCCUCUGGGAAAUCCAGCGGCUUAACCGUUGGGCUUCCAUGGGAAACUACAUUGCUUGGGACUGGGAGAGGUAGGAGGUACUCGAGGGGUAGGGGUGAAAUCCUGUAAUCCUUCGGGGACCACCGGUGGCGAAGGCGUCCUACCAGAACAGGUCCGACGGUGAGGGACGAAAGCUAGGGGCACGAACCGGAUUAGAUACCCGGGUAGUCCUAGCCGUAAACGAUGCCCGCUAGGUGUCACGGCGGUCGUGAAUCGCCGUGGUGCCGUAGGGAAGCCGCGAAGCGGGCCACUUGGGAAGUACGGCCGCAAGGCUGAAACUUAAAGGAAUUGGCGGGGGAGCAC